rnacentral:rRNA from 1 species
AAUAUUGCACAAUGGGGGAAACCCUGAUGCAGCGACGCCGCGUGAGCGAAGAAGGCCUUCGGGUCGUAAAGCUCUGUCCUAAGGGAAGAAACGGACGGUACCUUAGGAGGAAGCCCCGGCUAACUACGUGCCAGCAGCCGCGGUAAUACGUAGGGGGCAAGCGUUGUCCGGAAUUAUUGGGCGUAAAGCGCGCGCAGGCGGUCUGGAAAGUCGGAUGUGAAAUCUCGGGGCUCACCCCCGAGCGUGCAUACGAAACUUCCAGACUUGAGAGCAAGAGAGGGGAGUGGAAUUCCUAGUGUAGCGGUGAAAUGCGUAGAUAUUAGGAGGAACACCAGUGGCGAAGGCGACUCCCUGGCUUGCAACUGACGCUGAGGCGCGAAAGCGUGGGUAGCGAACAGG